UACGGGGGGGGCAAGCGUUGUUCGGAAUUACUGGGCGUAAAGGGUUCGUAGGUGGCCAACUAAGUCAGACGUGAAAUCCCUCGGCUUAACCGGGGAACUGCAUCUGAUACUGGAUGGCUUGAGUUCGGGAGAGGGAUGCGGAAUUCCGGGUGUAGCGGUGAAAUGCGCAGAUAUCCGGAGGAACACCGGUGGCGAAGGCGGCUUCCUGGACCGACACUGACGCUGAGGCGCGAAAGCUAGGGGAGCAAACGGG
rnacentral:rRNA from 1 species